GAGGUAAUACAGCAAUGAGAAAUAUAUAUACAAGUAUGGCUGUAGGUUCUUAUGGAAUUGUUCUCAAAUAGGCCAUAACAAGAAGAUCAUAUGGUAAAACUCGUCAGAAAAUCAAAAUGCAAUGAGCAUGAGGCUCCGUACUGUGGGAUGAUCAGUCCACACAGGUUGGUGACUCCCCCGACCAACUAGGGUUCAAAUACGAUGUGCACAAAGACUAACACUACCCUGUUAGCAUGGGUAUUCUGACUGACAUACCAUAGGUUCAUAAUCAUACUCAAACAGACAUAUUCAUAUCUCAAGGCUCAACUCAUGACAUCAAUCAAAUGAGGAGCUAUCAAUUCAGAAUUCAAUUCAAUAUAUAUGCUGGUUCAUAUCAAGAAUUCAGAUUCAACAAUUGAUCAUGCUUUAUUCAAACAAGGAUAAUAAUCAACAUAUAUAUUAUCAAGAAGCAUGAUUCAAUUCAUAUUAACAAGUCAAAUAUUUAUAUUAUUUCUCAUGCAUAUGGAAAAUUAUCCACUCACCUGACUCGAAAGCAAACAGAAGUCAAAAGCAAAUACUGAAGAAAAUCCUACUGACGUCCCGCCGGUAGAAUAUCAGGAUUAUCUGAAUACAAAGAAGGCAUAUUCAAGAAUAACUCAAAGGAAUAUAUAACCUAUUUAAUACACUUAUCUAAGGGUAUAUUCCAUAACCCUAUAUGUUUUUGAACUAACUAGUUAUUUUUCCUAAAAACCCAACAUUUAACGGUUUUCCCGAAAUCUAAUCCAUAAUAAAACAAAUAAUAAAAUUGGCAAUAAUUCACUAAAUAACCCUUAAUUAUUCAUCAAACUAAUCUGCAAAAGCUAAUAUUACAGCUAGGGAAUAAUCUGUAAUUUAUCCUAUUUUCAAGGGUCAAAUUGCAACUUUUGUCUAAUUGAAGGACCAAACUGAAAUUUAUCAUAAAUCCAUGAAUAUACUGAAAUUAUGACCAUAAUUAGUCCUCAUUUCUGUCCAGAUCAUCUCAUUAUACUCCAAGGACCAUUCUGGAAUUUUACCAAAUUUUUAGGGUCAAAUUGUAAUUUUGUCAAAUUGGAGGACUAAAUUGAAAGUGUUAAAUUCUCUUAUCUAUACAGUAAUUCUGUCCAUAAUUCAUAUGUUAUUCUGUUCAGAAUCUCGGAAUAGGCUCCAGGGACCAUUCUGCAAAUUUUCCAAAGUUUGGGGACUAAACUGUAAUUUUCCAAAAUUGAGGGACCAAACCGAAAUUUUGUCAUCUUCAACCUCAAACCCAGAAUUUUCACAGAUUACCUACUGUUAUCCCCUGAUUUCUAACACAAAUUCAUCAUUCAAACAAAAUCAUAACUCAAAAUCAUCAUUUUUAUCUACAAUCUCUCAAAUUCAACUUAACAAUCCAUUACCCACAACAAUUAACCUUAUAACAUUCAAUUUAAUUCAUCAAUUAAACCCAAAACACAAAUUUUCAAAACCCUAACAUUCAUCAAAACUGAAAUUAAAGUUAAAGAAAACAUAUUAUACACAUUAAAGCAUAAUCUUACCCUUUUUACUUAUUUCCUCCAACUCCUUUCUAUUUCCCUUCUAAUUUCCCUCUUUUCUCUUCUUCUUCUUCUUUCUCCCUUCUCUCUCACGGUUUACUCUUUCAAUUUUUCAGAUCCCUCUUAUCUUUUGUUUUCCUUUUAUUUUACUUCCUAUUUAUAUUUAUCAUCUCUUUAUUCAAUUACUACUAUACCCCUCAUUUAAUUUAUUCCUACAUCUAAGCAUUCAAUGGCUUUCUAGCCUUUUCCUAUGUCUUUAUAUUCAAAACAUUACAAUUUCCCAUCCUAACUUGACCAAAGUCACCAGCAGUGUAGGAUGUGUAAAAAUCACGUCGGGGUGUAACAUGGUAAGAAGCUGCUGAAUCUGCCACCCAGGUGGUAUCUUGACAUGCAAGAUUAACACAACCAUCAUCACAAACAAUGGCAACAUCACCAUCAAACACAACUGCAGCUGUACCAUUCUCUUCAUUCUUGUCUUCAUCUCUACCCUUUUUAUCUCUUUUAUACUUUCUGCAAUCCUUUUGCAUAUGCCCAGGCUUGUCACAAUAAUAACACUUAAAACCCUUUCUUGACUGAGAUCUUCCUCUUGGCUUCCAUUUGCCUUUUCUAUUGCUGGAUUCUCCAUCUUGCUUGCCGUGAGAGAACCUGCUUUGACUUCUCCCUCGACUUUCUGUAACAAGUGCAUGAGACUCAGAAGUGCUUGUCCCUUUCCUCCUCUUCUCUUCAUUGAGGAUACAAUCCUUCACUGUUUUCAAAGUGAGCUUUCCAUUCGGAGUAGAAUUGCUAAGUGACACUACCAAAGUCUCCCAACUAUCCGGCAAUGAACUCAAUAGGAUUAAUGCUUGCAUUUCAUCGGCUAACUCAAGGUUCAUCAAUGACAGCUGAUUCAAGAACCCUUGGAAUACAUUUAUAUGCACUGAAGCAUCUUCACCAUCUCUAUACUUCAAAUUUACAAGGUCUCUAAUUACAAAAACCUUGUUUUGUGCAUUCUCCUUGGCAAAGGUUUCUUCCAACAUCUUCCAAACUGUAUAGCAGUCAUGUUCUUAAGAAAUGUGAUUAAUGGACUUAGAAGAUACCCAUUUUCUAACAUUAGCGGUAGCCUUUCUAUUUACUCCAUUCCAUUUUGCAUCAUCCAUAUCAUCAGGCUUUAUUCCUUUACAUUCAAUCGGCAAAGCCAAAUCAUUGCAAUAUAAGUGAUCCUCCAUCAUUGUUUUCCAUAGAAAAUAAUUUGAGGAAGUGAGCUUUAUCAUGCCCGAAUCUUCCUUUUCCAUUUUAACUGCACAAGAAUUCAAUCUACACAACCAAAUGGUCUGAUACCACUUUGUUGGGAAAACUAGGGACAACUAACCGGAUCAAUUCAGCGGAAUACAAUUCACAAUUCACAAGUCCCAAUCCUUUUUCCCUCUUUGUGCAGUAAAAACAGAAUCAAACAAUGAACAAAUAUAAUGCAACAAUCACACAAAUCAACACCAAGAUUUUUACGUGGAAAACCCGAUGCGGGAAAAACCACGGGACCGGAGUCCACCUAAAAACUUCCACUAUCACAAAUAAUGGGUUCACAAUUGUUCUUCCUCAGAUUCAACUAAGGGCUACAACAUAUAUAUCAUCAAGAACAACUUAUUCUCGGAUUACAACAAGAUUAAAGAGAGUAAUGUUAGAGAAAAGCUCACAACACUGACAGCCCCGUUUUCUGUCAAAACGACCAGCUUCCACACCACCAAUCUUCAAUCCAACCGUUCAAAAUGAAGAGUAACGUGUCUAGAAGCUGCUGUCCAAAUAUCAGCCCGAUCCAACGGUGAACGAACUGGAAAUCGAAGAAAGAAGACAGACUGCUCUGCUGCCUCCUUUUCUUUCUUUCUCUCGGUUUUUCUCUGCUCUCUCGUUCAAAUUUGCUACUGCCUCUACAGUGGCAGUUUCAUUUUAAAUCAAAGAGGCAGCCAGCUGCCUCCUUAAUUAAUGUGGUGGUCCCCCAUCACAUGGUGCGGGACCACACACAACAUAAGCGACACAGGAACAAUUCUUCAAGCACUCAUCUUUGCAUUCUUGUUCGGAGGACGGAUAUGGCCAGUAAUCGGCAAAGGUUGGCACCUUCAUCAUCUCUAGCUUGAUAAACCCAUCUUCUUUUCCCACUUCACUACCAUUUUGUAUUCUAUCACACUGCAACGAUGUCAACCUAACACAACCGCUAGUCCAAAUUCCUUUGUUCCAUUCAUCUUGAUGUUUUGCAACAAACCCUUUUAAACAUGUGCAGAUAGGUGAAUUCUGUGCAUCGCAGCUUCCAAAUGGCCCGCACUUGCCAUAAAUAUCACACUCAGUUGAUGGAACUUCCCAGUCAUACUCCCAACCUUGCUUCCCAUAAUCCCAGUAUUGUUCUUUAAAUUUUCCAUGAGAAGUUAAAACAUACGUUAAUCGGAAAGCUGGGUCUCUAAUUGAACUCAGAGUGAAAGUGCCAUCUCCUUCAUUUUGUAGACUAAAUCCAUCUAAAUACACAGAAGUAUACAUUCCUGGUAUUCCGAUAAAAUUCUUACCACCCCAUGGACCACUACGCCAAAAUGGAUGACCAUUGUACCAGAUGAAGAACUCAGGAACUCCUAAUGGAUUGACACCAGCAGAGAAGUUUCCAACAGAAGGAUCAGAUGAGCUUCUCCAUGACAUUAGCAGUGUCUUGUUCCCUGUUCUUGCGUUAGCACUAAGUCUCAUCUUUGAUAAGUAAGUAUCCGUAGGCUGCUGGAAACUUUGCCAUACAAGGUUUCCAUUCGGUCCAGCUUUCAAGACAAGGUUUCCAUCAUCAGUAAGCUGUGCAGUUGACUGAUUGAACCCAAUUGAAACAUUUGAUGACCACAGAACCUCUCCCUGACCAUUCAAAACCACAAGAUUUGCAUCUUCAGAUUUUGUCAUCAUCCCAGAAGAAUCGUUGAUUGGGUUGUUUCUGUUGGCCACCCAUAGUACUGGAGUUGCUGCUGAUAUAUUACUAUACCAUAUUCCGACAUAUCGAUAUGUUGAAUUAACUGGGCUGAAAAAUCCCAGUUUGAACUUUUUUCCGGCAGACACUACAGCUUCUGGAUCUUUGAUGGGCUGAGAAGUAGUUAUGGUAUCUCCUGCAUCACCAUAAACUGAACAGGAACAUGAUAGAAACAGAAGAAGAGCUACUGCAACUUCGCAGUUGCCAAGUCCCAUACUUGUUAUUGAUGAGAAUGGAAGAUUUACAAAUGGCUUAUUGAAUGUUCAGAGAAAGCAUGCGACGAAGAAGAAUAUUUCUCUUCCUGUCCUUUUAAUUCCAAUCAUGAAGUUAUUUUUCAAAUAGAAACUAAGUUUAGCAAUUAUAAGUCAGAAAUUCUUAUGUUUUCUGUAAAUAUCCAUCUAUAAAGAUAUUUCAUCAGGAUGAACCUGGUCCACUGGCUUGUGAGAUCGAUAGCAUUUUUAUUUUUAUAGGAUAUUAUCACAAUACAUACACUUGCCUCACCAUGAUUGACAUGUUCUUUUUGUUUAGGUGAAUUCUUAAGUUUAGGUGAAUUCUUUUUGUUCGACCUUAUGUGGCCUUUCAGACGUCGUUGCUGUACAAUAAUAGAAUAUUUUAGGUGCCAAGCAUAUAUGGAUAGUUGAAUUCUUUUUGUUCGACCUUUUGUGGCCCUUCAGACUUCAGCCAGUUAUUGUUGCAAUCUUUUGACUUUUUUUCCUUCAUCGAAAUCUAAAAACCUUUGACUUUUUCGAAAACAGCCCUUCCCUCAGGGGACAUAUAAACCACUGCAUAAGAACAAUUGUUUCUUAGCUCAAACCAUUAAUACUUCAACACAGUAAAAAAUAGGAAAGAAAUGUCUGCUUCAUAGCAUUCUCUUGAUUUUCUCUGCCACCAGAGAUCUUGGCCAUCUGAUGUCUGAAAUUUUUGGAUUCAUCUAGUCAUGCAACAAGAUGUUACAUGGCUUCAGAUCUCCAUGAAUAAUCCUUCGUCUAGAAUCUCUACGAAGGUAAAGAGGACCCCGACAGAUUAUUUGGACAAUGUAGAAGCGCCUUUUCCAAUCAAAUUGUUUUAAACUUAAUUGAUCUACAUAAAUUGUUCCCAGAAAAAAUGAAAACUGAACGGAAAUUGUCACCAUCUGAAUUUGAGCAUUAGAAGACGCCAAUAGAAUAUUUAGUCGGUAAGUAAACACCAUUUCGUCAAGCAUUUACAUCGCCCAAUGAUUUCCCGACGUAAACACGUCAUCAAGAAACGUUUUAUUAGGGAUUUACUAUUCGUGGGCAUUCUGUUUUUAAUUUGUAAUGCCGGAAAAAAUGCAAACAAAACAUUGAUGAUUAUUGAUGUACCUAUUUCAUCGAUAAAUAAAUUAUUGAUGAAAUAUUAUAUUACCUAUUUCAUCGGCAAAAACUAAAUAUUAAUGAUAGAAUAAGUGUAGGAAUUGUCAACAGAAUUCCUUUAGAAAACUCUAAAACUUCUAAAUCAUUUUGUAACUUUCCGAGGAAACAUCUAUGGAUGUUAAUUUAUAAUGGAAUCACCUAUGGAUAAAAAAACCCUUUAAUGAUUCCUUCACAAGUUUAGCAUUUUUUUUAGUUAUUUAGUUGUUAAUUUAAAAAACAACAAAAAUCACAAUAAAACCAAAACACUAUUAAUUUUAUUGAAUAUCAAAAUCUUAUUAAUUUCAAUAUUUAUUAAAAAAUAAUUUUAUAAUAAUAAAUACAUCGCUACAGAUAUGGAGGUGGAGCUGGACAGAGGAAAAUCCUUGGCCAAAAAGAAUAGAAGGAUGAGCAGGAUAAUCUAGCUAAAGCCAUGUAUUUCAUCAUUUUCUCCCAAUUCCAAAAUUUCUGUUAUGUCAAUGCUAUAUAGUGUUGAUCUUCCUACUCCUAAGAAAUUAGAAUUUAAACUUGAUAUAAUUUAAAACAUAGUUACAUUUGUGUUGCUAGUAAAUCUAGUUGAUAUUAUUGUAAAAUACAUGUGAUUUCACUAAGCUAAAACCACAGAAAAAUAAAUAUAGAAACAAAAUAAAAACAGAAUAAUUAUUUUCUUACUUGUCUCGACUUCCCUUCAAAGCUAGAUAGAUUGGAGAAUUCAAAAGUAGUGAAGUUAAAUUUGAAAACUAGAUGUUUUGUUCAGUAGCUCAUGGCAUCUACGGGUACUAAAAUUAGUAAAAUUAAAAAAAUUAAAAAUUUCCAUGUUCUCCCAAUUUUAAUUCUUUAAGUAGAGUAGUGAUUUGAUCUUAUAUGCCAUAAAACGAUAAAUUCUCAUCAAUUUUACCUCUUUAGUAUCAAAAUCAACAAUUCCUAAUUAAGAAAUAGGGUCUAGAAUAAUUAAUAUAAUUAAUUUCUAAAAAAUAGGGUCAAGAAUAAUUUAUAUAAUUAAUGUUCCACCAUUAGUUUCUAUUGGAAGAAACUCUAGGUGUGGUAGAAGAUAAUCUUAAAAAGCAAAACUAACAAACAAGAAAAAUUUGAGAGAAAAGAUGUUUUUGCAUUAAGUGUUUUCUCAAAGAUACAUUUUAUACGCUUUUCUACAUACUUCUCUCACGUUCCAAUUAUAAGCCUAUUUAUAGGUAUAAAGUCUUAGACAAUCAAGGAAUUAAACUAAAAAAUAGAAAACCCAAACUGAUAAGGAAAAGCAUUUUGCCAACUUAACUGGUCGAUUGAUGCAUUUAAUCCAACUGAUCGACCGACUCAACUGGUAGACUAGUUACUCUGUUUUUCUAAAAAAAAUUAAAAUCUAGUUUAUUUUCAACAUCACCCCUUAAACUUGAUUUCUUUAAAACACCUAGCAUAUCUCUUAUCUUGGCAAAAAAUUAUGUUUGAGUGGCUUUGUGAAAAUUCUGCGACUCAAUCUUGGAUCUUUACAUACUUGACUUCAACUUUCUUAUUUGUAAUGCAAUCUCGUAAAUAAUGAAAUCUUGUGUGUCAAUGUGAUUACUUAUAUCAUGAAACACUAGAUUCUUUACGAAGACAAUGACUGAUAAGAUGUCCAUAUAAAUUUCUAUAUGCUUCUCUUGUGGCAUUCACAACUCCUUCAAUAAUUGUCUUAGCCAUAUGGAAUGACAAACACAUGUUGUAAUAGCAAUAUAUUCAGCUUUACAAGUUGAUAAUAUAACUAUAAGUUUCUUCUUUGAACUCCAUGUGAAUGUUGUUUCUCCCAUGUAGAAAACGAAACCUAUAGUACUCUUUCUAUCAUCCAUAUCUCCAGCCUAAUCACUAUCUAUCCUAUAAGUUCAAAGCUAUUAGAGUAUCUAUAGAAAAAGCCAAAAUCAUCAGUACCUUUGAUAUACCAAAGAAUUCGCUUCAAAGUUUUGAAAUGUGUCGUAAUUAGUGUCUUCAUAAACCUGCUUACAAGCCUUGCUCCAAAGAGAAUAUCUGGACGGGUGCAUAUGAAGUAUCUCAAACUCCUAAUUACGCUUUUGAAUAUUGUAGAGUUUAUCUUCUCUACUUUAUCAUUCUUUGACAUCUUCUCUCCACACUCAAUUGGAGUAUUCACUUUUGCACAAUCCUUCAUUUUGAAAUUCUUGAAAAUCUCUUUUGUAAACUUCUCUUGGUUCACAAAGAUUCCAUAUUCUCCUUGUUUGAUCUCAAUCCCUAAAUAGUAUGUCAUAAAACAAUUAUCCAUCAUCUCAAACUUCUUAAUCGUUGCUUGCUUGAAGUCUUUAAAUAUCUUUGGAUGAUUUCCUGUAAAGAUCAAGUCAUCCACAUACAAGCAUACAAUAAGAGUAUCACCACUCACUACCAAAAAAUUGAUAAAUACAAACGGAAAUACCGAGGGUAUAUUUCCAUCGAAAAUAUACCGACAGAUUUUACCGACGGAAAUAUUUGCUCGGUAUAUACCGAGGGAAUUACAGUGGGAAACAAAAUAAUUAAAACAAAGGCAAAUUCCGUCGGCAAAACCGUUGGUAAAUUAUGAACAUUGUUCAUCAUGUCAAUUACAAAGGAAUCACCGACAGAAAAUUCCGUCGGUAUUUUAUAGAGAGCUCUGAAACUGUUCACUUCUCAAUUGCACUGUUAAUUAUUGUUCUUUACAGAUAAAAUCACCGAUGGAUUGAAAAGUCGUCGGUGCUAUUUGAUGAUUUUCUGAAAAUUUAGAUUAAAUUAAAAUUUUAAAUUAAAUAUUACCGACAGAAUCAUCGACGAAUUGAAAAGUCAUUAGUGAUAUUUGGCAGUUUCUGAAAAUUUUUUAUUAAAUUAAAAUUUUUAAUUAAAUAUUACAGACGGAAUCACCGAUGGAAUGAUUAAAAAUAUUAAUAUUUAAUUAUCCAUCGAUAAAAACAUCGGUAAAACGCCCCAUUAAAAAGCCUAGAAUUCCUAAUUUCAUAAGAGACCCAUCUCUUUUCUUCUUCUUCUUCUUUUCCCCCAUAUGUAAAAAAUAUCAAUAUCCAUUUCUUUUUCUUCUCUUCUCUCCUCAACUCCUUCUCUUCUCCUCCAUGCUUAGGUAUGUCUUCUUCUCCUUUCUUCUUUUUUCUUCUCAAUUUUUUUUUUAAUUAGUAUACUUUACAAAAAAAAAUUUUCUUUUCUUAGCUUCACUUGCAACUACAUUAAGGUAAAAAUUCUUUUUUCUUUUUUUUCGUGUUUUUUUCACUAUAUUUGUUUUUUAUUUUAUUUUUAAUUGUUUUUGUUCUUAAUAAUUGUAUGAAUAUUGUUCUAGGAUUUUUUUUUUCAUAUGAGAUCAAUUUUUAGUUGAUUUAUUUAUAGGAUUUUUAAAUUUUUUUCAUAUGAAUUUUUUUAGUUGAAUUGUUUUUGUUGCAAAUUUGUUUGAGUUGAUUUUCUUCUUCUUUUUCCAAGCAUUUUGAGUAUUAUAGAGUGUUGAUUUAUAUUAAUUUAAUUAUUUUAUAGUUUUGUAAAAUUGAUUUUUUUUUAAUAUUUUUAAUUAAUUACCGACGGAAUUACAUACGGUAUUUUUCCGAGAAAAAUACCGACGAAAUGAAACAGGUAAUAAUAUAUUUUUUGCUCUCAAGAAUUUUUAAUGUCUUAUGACUCCAUUACAUACAAAAUUUAAUAGGAACCAACAAUUCAAUUAUAUUCCUCAUCAAGACAUCAAUCCCUUCUUUGAUUUUCAUGGUAGUAAUAUUUCACAAUCUCAAGAAUCAACACAUGUGCUCCAUGAAAUUUAAGAAGUUGUAACGAGAUAUUCAAAAAUAGAUCUACUUACUACAAUAUUCAUCAAUUCACAUGAUGGAGUAUAAAGCAUUAAUAUGGUAGCAUAAAACAAGAUUGAAGGACUCCCUUAAGUUUUCUCCUCUAGGCCGAAACUAUUUAAUAGAAGGAGGGAAGAAUUUUAUUUUAUUUUCUUUCAUUCUCUAAUUAAUCAUUUCUUCAAUAACCUAAUUCUAGUGCAACUUUAUGCUUAUGAAUUUAUCACUUAACAACAUUUAUUCACAAUUAAAUCCCCUAAAAUCUCCCAUUAUUGGCCGACCUCUAGCUCUAUUUAAUUAUCAAAAUUUUUAAUUCAAUUAUAAUAAUUUAAUCAUUUUACUCUAAUUUUCACAUUAUUCCUCAUGACAAAUUACAAGAAAUUUUUAUUUUCCCCAAAUUUAUUCAAGAACCCUAACUUUUCAAUUUAAAAAAUUCAAUCAAUUAAGGAUUUUAAGCCAUUAAAAUCAAAUCAAGAGUCUUUAGAAUGCUUUACCAAGGAAGUAAUUAAACUCUAAACACUUCCCAAAUCAAGCUUUCAACUCCUCCUCUUCUUUAAUCUUGGCCGAACUUCCUCUCUUUUUUUGUACUCACCUUCACUUGAUUUUUCUUCCUUCCAAUUAAUGCUUACUAAACUUGGUUAAUGUUCUCUUAUGAUCUUCUCUCAAGAUUUUAUGUUUCCUUUACAAUUCUAUCUCUCUCACAUGUAAAUGGUAGUUUUCCCUCUUUGUUUUUUCCUUCUUGCCCAAGCACACACAUGCGCGUGCGCGCGCGCGCAUAUAUAUACUCUAACUUUUACCAAAUUCUCUUUAUAUCCCAAAUAGUAAAUUUCAUGUUCCCGGGAUAAAAUUCCUGGAUCCCAGCAUUUGUCUAUAUAAAAUUUUUACCCGAGUGAAUUCAAAUUUCAUUUAGUUACAUAUUGAUACUUUUAUUUUCUGGUAAUUGAUACUUUUGUUUAUUCUAUUCUAUAAGCACUUAGAUUACUUUUCUGUUUAAUUUUCAACCAGGGCUUACACUUUCUUUAUGAGCUUGUAGUUUUCUCAUGAGUCCUUGAAUUGUAAUAAAAUUCAUAUUAUAUGACUCCUCUAUCGCGACCACCAUAUAAUGCAACUUCUUUUUGCAGCGAGCAAAACAUCUUUUCUACCACACAUGUUUGCUUCAUCUUCUCCUCAUAUCUCUUUAUUUGAUUGUAUAUGGUUAAAACUCUGGCAAAGUAAUCUAAAAUACUCUCUCAUUCACGCAUAUGUAGCUUUUCAAAGUCACCUCAUUACUUUUGUAAGCGUACCUUUCUGACAUUGGCAGCUCCAUGGUUUGAUUAUUGCAAGACUUCUCAUGCUUACUUGGUAGUGGUUACAUUAGCCACUAUCACAAAAGUAACAUUAUCUAGACAUUGGUGGAUGAUUGUGAGUGCUUUCUGAUCCUUCCUCCGCGCCUUUUGCACGGCCUCCCGCUUUCAAUACACCAAAUUUCAUAAUUUGUCAAAUGAGGACAUUGAAGUGGGAAGUUUAUAUUAGCCAUGUCAAAUAAUAAAAAAACAAGCUUUGAUACCACUUGUUGGAAGAAACUUUAGGUGUGGUAGGAGAUAAUCUUAAAAAACAAAAAUAAAAAAGAAGAAAAAUUUGAGAGGGAAGAUGUUUUUGCGUGAAGUGUUUUCUAAAAAAUACACUCAGUAAGCUUUUUUACAUACUUUUCUCACGUUUUAAUUACAAAUUUAUUUAUAGACAUAAAAUCCUAAACAAUCAAAGAAUUUAACUAAAGAAAGAAAAACCUAAAUUGAUAUGGAAAAGUAUUUUUCUGACUCGAGUCACCAAUCAAUCAAUUUAUUUAAUCCAACCAGUACUACUCAACUAAUAAGUCAUUGUAUAAUGAUAUUGAUACAAGGACGAGCUCUUUGCAAGUAACUAAUACGAUAAUACGAGAUGUCUAGUUGAUGAGUUAAUGGAUAAAAUUGACAGACAAAAGCCCAAAAGAUGGCUUCAAAUGGCAAACGCGCACCGGUCCUUUAGAGGGCCACAGAUUUUGAUUCAGGUACCCGAUUACCUCAAAUCACAAAGCUUAUGUAGAGGCACAUACUGUGCUAGACCAAAGGCGUACGAGGUUGUUUAUGAGGUUAAAAUCCAUUCUGAAGACCUACUUUAACCGCCUUUCAUUACUCCUAUUUCGGAAAUUUGACUUUUCUAACUAUCUUUUCCUUUUAUCUCAACAUUAAUUUCAGACUCCAAUUAUUUAUUAAGUAUUAAGUAAUAUACUAAAAUGCGUAGGAAAUUCACUGUAGCUAAAGAUUUUUUUUUUUUUUUUUUUAGGGACUGUUUUUUCGUUUUUUUUUCAGUUUUUUUUUUCCAUUUUUUUUUUCAGUUUUUUUUUCAUUUUUUUUCUUGCUUUUUUUUCUUGCUUUUGGUUUUGUUUUUCUAUAGCAGUUUUUUUCUUUUUGUUUUUUUUACAUUUUUUUUUAACGCAUAGGUUUUUCACUGUAGUAGUUUUGUUUUUUUUUCCUCGCUUUUGUUUCUUUUGUUUUUUUACAUAUAAUGUAUCGCUAUGCACACAGUGAAACACUUGAUUUUUUUGUUGUGUUUUUUUUUCUUUUUUCUUUUUUUUCAUUUUUCCUAUGAGUUUUUUUUUUGCCUUUUUCUUUGUUUUUUUUUUCAAUGAAUUGUUUUUUGUUUAAUUUAGUUUGUUAAUGUAAAAAAAAAAUUUAAUUUAGUUAUCAUAUUUUCAUUACACGAAUCUCAGUUUUUUUUCUAUAUUAAGCUAGUUGAAAACUUAACUUUGUAGCUUUUUUCAAAAAGAAAAAAAAAUAUUAUGAAUUACUACAGUCUUUCCCUUGCAUGAUUUUUGUUUGGUUGCAAUGUUUCCCCCAUAUGUUUAUUUUUUUAUUUUAUUUUUCAUUUUUUUUUUGCAAUUUUUUUUUUGUUUUUUUUCUGUUGCAUUUUUUUUUCGUUUUUGGUUUUGUUUUUCUGUAGCAGUUUUUCCUUUUUUUUUCCUUUUUUUUGUUUUUGUUUUUUUACAUGUUUUUUUUUAACGCGUGGGUUUUUCACUAUAGCAGUUUUAUUUUUUUUCCCUCGCUUUUGUUUCUUCUAUUUUUUACAUAUAAUGUGUCGCUGUGCACACAGUGAAACACUUGAUUUUUUUAUUUUUAUUUUCUUUUAUUUUUUUUUCGUUUUGCCUAUGGGGUUUUUUUUUUUUUUGCUUUUUUCUUUGUGUUUUUUUUUCUUUUAAUGAAUUUUUUUUGUUUAAUUUAGUUUGUUAAUGUGAAUUUUUUUUUUAUUUAGUUAUCAUACUUUUAUUACACAGAUCUCGGUUUUUUUUCUAUAUUAAGUUGGUUGAGAACUUAACUUUGUAGCUUUUUUCAAAAAGAAAAAAAAAAUACUAUGGAUUACUACAGUGUUUUCCUUGCAUGAUUUUUGUUUGACUGCAGUGUUUCCCCCAAAUGUUUAUUUUUUAAAUUAUCUUUGUUAAAUUUAUUUUUUUAAUAUUGAGUUGGUUGAAAAUUUAGCUUUAGCUUUAGCUUUUCCCACGUUUUUUCAUUAUAAUUAUUAUUAUAUUGUAUUAUAUUAUAUGACUGUUUUUUUCUUUUGUUUUUUCUUUUUAAUUUUUUUUAAUGAAUUUUUUUUGUUUGAUUUAUUUUGUUAAUGUUAAAUUUUUUUUUAUUUAAUUAUCAUAUUUUCAUGAUACGAAUCUCGGGUUUGAUAGGUUAACCUGAUUUAACGAGUUAUUUUUUUUCAUUUAGUUUAGUUUGUUAAAGUUAAUUUUCUUUCUAUUUAAUUAUCAGAUUUUCAUGACAUGUAUCCUGGGCUUGACGGGUUAACUUGGUUUGAUGGGUUAACCCGGUUAAUUCUGGGUAAACCCGUCAUUUUUUUUUUCUAUUUAGUUAUCAAACUUUAAUGACACAAAUCUCAGGUUUUACGGGGUAACCUGGUUUAAAGGGUUAACCCAAUUAAUUCAAUUUUUUUUUCUUUUUCUUCAUUAGUUUUUUUCUUUCUGUUGAUUUUUUUUCUUUGUUUUUUUUAAUUACUCUAUUUAAUUAUCACACUUUUACUACACGACCUUAUAGCCAGACCCACAUCCAAUAUUCUUGGGUCUGGUGUUACUGGGUCAUGUAAGUUUAAUUUUAUUAUUAAUAUUAUAAAUAUUACUCUUAGGUCAGACGUUGCAGCCACCCAAGAUUCUUGGAUAUAACUUUGCAGAAAAAUCCAAGAUUUUUCAAUUUUUAUUUUUUUUUAAAAAAAAUAACCCGCGGCAUCGCGCGGGUAUCAAAGCUAGUAUACUAUGUAGCCCGUGGUUUUGUUGCAGAAACAUUGCUGUACCAUAUUCCAACACAGCGUUUUGAGGAAUUAACGGGGCUGAAAAAUCCCAGUUUAAAAGUAUUGCUUGUCGAGACAAUAUAGUUUCAGGAUAUUUGAUGUGUAGAGAUGAUGUAAUUAUGUCAAUGGCAGCAUUAGGAUGCAGGAAACGGCCAUUGGGAGCUUUCCUCUCCGUAAAGUGCAUAACUAGAAUACUUUAAAACCCUAAAGUUUUUUUAGGAAUUCUGUUAUCAAUGCAACAUUGAUCUUUUCUACUCUUACUUAAAUUUUAAUUAAUGAUUCCAAUAUCAUCCUUCACGGAUGUAAGAAACGUACAUAAAGGGAGGUAGCCAAGAUUUGUUCGAACUUUAAUUACUUGAGCUAAAUUAGAGUCCCUAGAGACUUCAAUAUUUCUACUCCUAGCACUCUAAAACUGGAUGACACCCUUAAAACCUUUCAAGGUAGAUGUGAAAGAAGCCCUUCAACAUAUUAGAUUGUUGAUAUCAUAGACUAGGAUAAAAUAUUAGAUUGCUUUGAAAGUAAAAGCAAUAAAAAAAAUUAAAAACAUGUAAAGAGGACAGUAGAAUAAAAAUACCACAAAACUGACAACCUGAUAGCAGUCUGAUUAAGUCACACCAAGCAAUGUAAUGUUAUAUAACAUUUAACAAUGAUCAAACAGAAAACGUGAACAUGUUCUGAACCCUAUCGGCCUUUAAGAUCAGAAAUCGUCACAUUGUUAAUGGAAUUUAUCUUUUGGCUCUGAGUAAUGGCCUCUGUACCCAAGGAAGUCUGCCUUUCAACAAAUGCUGGUUUCUUUGGAGUAGGAAGAUCCACAAUUUCACUAUUCAGCAUGGAAAUGAUAGUUGACACGGCCGGUCUGUCCUUCGCCAAUUCUUGCACACAAAACAGAGCAACAUGUAUGCAUCGGAAUAUCUCCACCUGAGAACAUGGAUCUGAUAUUGCAGGAUCGACCAAAGCUGCAAUGUCACCUUCAUUCCACAGUUUCCAUGCCUGAAAAUGUUGAUACAAUCAUACAAGUAAGAGUUUGCAAGUUUAAUAGUAAUAGAAAUUGAAAGGAGCUUUCCAAAUAUAUCUCAGGCAGUGUGCCGGACAGACAUACAAAUCCUAUAAGACUCAAAGCAUGCUCAUCGCUAUAAAAAUGAGCGUUCUUUCUUCCGCUCACAAUCUCCAGCAACAACACUCCAAAGCUAAACACAUCUGAUUUCUCUGAAAAUCUUCCUUCCAUUAAAUAUUCAGGGGACAUAAAGCCACUGCAUAAGCACAACAGCUUUCUGAGCUCAAAUUAGAGAAACAGUAAUAGGAGUGAAAAUGGGAAAAAAAAGAAGAAAAACACUACUUACAAGGUUCCAACAACCCUGGUAGUAUUCACUUCAUUGCCGCCAGAAAUCCUGGCUAUUCCGAAGUCUGAAAUUUUUGGAUUCAGCUCGUGGUCCAAUAAGAUGUUACUUGGCUUCAGAUCUCUAUGAAUAAUUCUUAGUCUAGAAUCUCUGUGAAGGUAAAGAAGACCUCGACAAAUUCCAUUAAUAAUGUUGAAGCGUCUUUUCCAAUCUAGUUGUCCUUUCCUGAGUGAAUCUAAACAAAUUGUAUCCAGAAAAAAUCAUGAGAAAACAAGGUCAAAAGAAAAUGAGUCAAGAAAAGUAGCAAUCUGCUUCUCCUGCUUGAAACUAAUGAUCUGUGAAAUUGAAAAUGAGUCAAGAAAAGUAGUAGCUAAACAAAAAAGAGCUGUAGCCCUAACCAAAGAGAAAGGCAUCCAAGCUUUUAUUCGGCAUGUACUCAUAAACCAACAUCAUCUCUUCUCCUUCAACACAGCAACCAAGAAGUCUCACAAGAUUCCUAUGUUGGAGUUUAGAAAUCACCGCAACUUCAUUCAUAAACUCUUCGAGCCCUUGACCAGAUGUUUUAGAAAGUCUUUUGACAGCUAUUUCCUGCCCAUCUGGUAAUUUUCCCUACAAUGUCACAUCAAACCAAUAAAUACCUUUUUGCUCUAAAUAACUAUAAAGAACCUUUAGUUCUAGAAGAAUUACCCUGUAUACUGCACCAAAGCCGCCCUGCCCAAGCUUCUUCGAUAUGUCAAAGUUGUUUGUAGCAGUUUCAAGAAUUUGUAAUUUGAAGAGCGGUUCCAGUUUAACUUCCCUGACGUUUUCGGGCAAGUUUCCAUCAAAAACUGUUUCUUGUGCUUCUCUCGUUUUGAACGAUAAGGUCUCCUCACUUGUCAACUUCCUUUCUGAAUUCAAGUGGAAGUAUCGUUAUUAUUUGUGAAUUGUGUUUUUCUUUACUUGUAAAAAUUGUAAAGUUUAGAAGUCCAGUAAGCUAAUAAGACGUAGCAUAUUACCUCUAUGUGCAGCCAUCCAUUUCCAAGAAAAAAACACACAGAUGAAGAUGGCAAUGGCUCCUACAAUCACUGACAUACUGAUGAUUACUUUCAUGUUUCUCUUGUUAUCUGCAACUAAAAAAUUGUACUGAUGGUUAUUUUGCAAAAAUGUAAUGGAAAUAUGAAAAAACUUAUCAAUGUUUGCUCAUACAGAUACAUAACUUGUACACUAGUUAUGCAUACCUGAAAAACGAAACAAUAGUGAAUGACAAUUAGAAAAAAUUAGAAUAAUUACCAUGUUCUGUAUACCCCAGGCGAAUGUUGAGAUCUGUUCCUCCUUCAGAGAACUGUUGUAUAUCAAUCAAGUUUCCUGUCCAUGCCAUACAGCCAAAACCAUUAUAAUAUGAAUAAGCGACACAGGAACAAUUCUUCAAGCACUCAUCUUUGCAUUCUUGUUCGGAGGACAGAUAUGGCCAGUACUCGGCAAAGGCUGGCACCUUCAUCAUCUCCAGCUUCAUAAACCGAUCUUCUUUUCUCACUUCACUACCAUUGUGUAUUCCAUCACACUGCAACGAUGUCAUCCUAACACAACCGCUAGUCCAAAUUCCUUUAUUCCAUUCAUCUAGAUUUUUUGCAUCAAACCCUUUUAAACAUGUGCAGAUAGGUGAAUUCUGUGCAUCGCAGCUUCCAAACGGCCCGCACUUGCCAUAAAUAUCACACUCAGUGGAUGGAGCUUCCCAGUCAUACUUCCAACCUCCCUUCCCAUAAUCCCAGUAUUGUUCUGUAAGUUUUCCAUGAGAAGUCAAAACAUACGUUAAUCGGAAAGCUGGGUCUUGAAUUGAACUCAGAGUGAAAGUGCCAUCUCCUUCAUCUUGUGGAGUAAAUCCACUUAGAUACACAGAAGUAGACAUUCCUGGUUUUCCAGUAAAGUUCUGGCCACCCCAUGGACCACUACGCCAAAAUGGAUGACCAUUGUACCAGAUGAAGAACUCAGGAAUUCCUAAUGGAUUGACACCAGCAGAGAAGUUUCCAACAGAAGGAUCAGAUGAGCUUCUCCAUGACAUUAGCAGUGUCUUGUUCCCAGUUCUUGCGUUAGCACUAAGUCUCAUCUUUGGUAAGUAAGUAUCCGUAGGCUGCUGGAAACUUUGCCAUACAGGGUUUCCAUUCGGUCCAGCUUUCAAGACAAGGUUUCCAUCAUCAGUAAGCUGUGCAGUUGACAGAUUGAACCCAAUUGAAACAUUUGAUGACCACAGAACCUCUCCCUGACCAUUCAAAACCACAAGAUUUCCAUCUUCAGAUAUUGUCAUCAUCCCAGAAGAAUCGUUGAUUGGGUUGUUUCUGUUGGCCACCCAUAGUACUGGAGUUGAUGCUGAUAUAUUACUAUACCAUAUUCCGACAUAUCGAUAUCUUGAAUUAACUGGGCUGAAAAAUCCCAGUUGAAACAUUUUUCCGGCAGACUCUAUAGCUUCCGGAUCUUUGAUGGGUUGAGAAGUAGUUAUGGUAUCUCCUGCAUCACCAUAAAAUGAACAGGAAAAUGAGAGAAACAGAAGAAGAGCCACUGCAACUUCGCAGUUGCCAAGUCCAAUACUUGUUAUUGAUGAGAAUGGAAGACUAAUAAAUGGCUAAAAGACUGUUCAGAGAAAGGAUGCCAUGACAAGAAUAUUUCUCCUCCUGUCCUUUUUCUUAAUUCCAAUCAAGAGAUUGUUUUUCAAAGAGAAACCAUGGUUGACAAUUAAAAGUCAGAAACUUAAAUGUUUUCUGUUAAUUUCCAUACAUAAAGAAUGUUUUACCACACUGUUACAUUACGUAAACAGGGUUAUGCAUUCCUGAAAAACGAAACACUAGUGAAUGAAAAUUAGAAAAUGUUAUAACAAUUACCAAGUUCUGUAUACGCCAGGCGAAUGUUGAGAUCUGUUCCUCCUUCAGAGAACUUUUGUAUAUCAAUCAAGUUUCCUGUCCAAGCCAUACAACCAAAACCAUUAUAAUAUGAAUAAGCGACACAGGAACAAUUCCUCAAGCACUCAUCCUCGCAUUGUUGUCCGGACGAGGACGCAUUUGACCAGUACUCGGCAAAGGUUGGCACCUUCCUCAUCUCUAGCUUCAUAAACCCAUCUUCUUUUCCCACUUCACUACCAUUCUGUAUUCUAUCACACUGCAACGAUGUCAUCCUAACACAUCCGCUAGUCCAAAUUCCUUUAUUCCAUUCAUCUUGAUUUUCUGGAACAAACCCUUUUAAACAUCUGCAGAUAGGUGAAUUCUGUGCAUCGCAGCUUCCAAAUGGCCCGCACUUGCCAUAAAUAUCACACUCAGUUGAUGGAACUUCCAAGUUAUUCUCCCAACCUUGCUUCCCAUAAUCCCAGUAUUGUUCUGUAAAUUUUCCAUGCGAAGUCAAAACAUGUGUUAAACGGUAAGCUGGGUCUUGAAUUGAACUCAGAGUGAAAGUGCCAUCUCCUUCAUCUUGUAGAGUAAAUCCCCUUAGAUACACAGAAGUAUACAUUCCUGGUAUUCCAAUAAAAGUCUGACCACACCAUGGACCACUACGCCAAAAUGGAUGACCAUUGUACCACAUGAAGAACUCAGGAAUUCCUAAUGGAUUGAUACCAGCAGAGAAGUUUCCAACUGAAGGAUCAGAUGAGCUUCUCCAUGACAUUAGCAGUGUCUUCUUCCCUGUUCUUGCGUUAGCACUAAGUCUCAUCUUUAUUAAGUAAGUAUCCGUAGGCUGCUGGAAACUUUGCCAUACAAGGUUUCCAUUCGGUCCAGCUUUCAAGACAAGGUUUCCAUCAUCAGUAAGCUGUGCAGUUGACUGAUUGAACCCAAUUGAAACAUUUGAUGACCACAGAACCUCUCCCUGACCAUUCAAAACCACAAGAUUUCCAUCUUCAGAUAUUGUCAUCAUCCCAGAAGAAUCGUUGAUUGGGUUGUUUCUGUUGGCCACCCAUAGUACUGGAGUUGCUACUGAUAUAUUACUAUACCAUAUUCCGACAUAUCGAUAUGUUGAAUUAACUGGGCUGAAAAAUCCCAGUUUGAACUUGUUGCCGGCAGACACUAUAGCUUCUGGAUCUUUGAUGGGUUGAGAAGUAGUUAUGGUAUCUCCUGCAUCACCAUAAACUGAAGAGGAACAUGAUAGAAACAGAAGAAGAGCUACUGCAACUUCGCAGUUGCCAAGUCCCAUACUUGUUAUUGAUGAGAAUGGAAGAUUUACAAAUGGCUUAUUGACUGUUCAGAGAAAGAAUGCCACGAAGAAGAAUAUUUCUCUUCCUGUCCUUUUAAUUCCAAUCAUGAAGUUAUUUUUUCAAAUAGAAACUAAGUUUAGCAAUUAUAAGUAAGAAAUUCUUAUGUUUUCUGACUUAUUUCCAUCUAUAAAGAAUGUUUAACCAAACUGUUAUAUUACAUAAGCAGGGUUAUGUUUUACUCUGAGAUUUUGACCCUCUUGUGCUAAAAUAGUGAUGUUUCAUCAGGAUGAACCUCAUCAACUAGCCUGUGAGAUCGAUAGAAUUUUUUUUUAUAUAGGAUAUUAUCCCAAAACAUACACUUGCCUCGCCAUGACUGACAAGUUCCUGUUAGGCGCUAUCAAGAAGCUCUUGACAUUCUUAUUUUAAAGUAGCUUUAUUCGUACUUGGUCUAUUUUGAAUUUGCCUGCAAUAUUUAUGUGGGCGAUGAUUAAAUUUAUACUCUAAACCAUCAACUGAUAUAUGGCAUAGUUGAAUUCUCUUUAUUAAACCUUAAGUGGCCCUUCAGACUUCAGCCAAUUAUUGUAGAGCAAUCUUUUGACUUUUUUUCCUGCGUCAAAAGCUAAAAACCUUUGACUUCUUUGAAAAUAGCACCUCCCUUAAACAUUCAGGGGAGAUAUAAACCACAGCAUAAGAUCCACAGUUUUUUAGCUCAAACCAUAUUGAUGCUUGAAUACAGUAAAAAAUAGGAAAAAAAGUCUACUUGCAACCCUAGUAGCAUUCACUUGAUCUUCUCUGUCAUCCAACAAGAUGUUACUUGCAGGCUUCAGAUCCCUAUGAAUGAUUCUUAGUCUAGAAUCUCUAUGAGUGCAUUCAAUUGAUAAAUAUUUUUUAUCAAUUAGCCAUUUCGUCGCCCACAUGAAAUAUUAUAUCACCUAUUUCACCAGCAAAAACUAAAUAUUGCUUACAGAAUAAGCGACCGAAUUGGUGAUAGAAUAAUGUUCAUUUCUAAUUCUAUCAGAAAAGUCUAAAACUUCUAAACCAUUUUAUAACUUUUGAGAAAAAAUAUCUAUAUUUCUAACAAAAUCACUGAAUGAUAAAAAAAAAUUUGGUGAUUCCAUCGAAAGUUCAGUAUUUUUUUUAGUUAUGUAAUUGUUAAUUUAAAACAAAUAAUUAAAAAAUCAUAAUAAAAUCAAACACUAUCUAUUUUAUUAAAUUUAAUAUUCAUCAAAAAUAAUUUUACAACAAUAAAUAUAUUGUUACACAAAUGAUGGUGGAGGUGAAGUGAAGAAUCUUGGGCCAAGAAGACCAGAAAAAGGAGCAUGAUAAUAUAAAGCCAUAAAUUCUAUCAUUUUCUCCCAAUUCUUCCUAUUUUCUUCUUCUAAUAUGCUUUUCAUAUCUUAUUAUAAUUUGGCCACUUGCUCCUAGACCUAUUCUAGACCCUCGCUUCAAAUUCUAGCGUCGACCGGCUUGGAACUGUUAUAUAAACCCAAUUCCUAUCAGGUAAUUAAUUGUUUCAGCCUCCAACCAUAACUGAAGAUCUUAAAGAGGAUGAAUGAAAGCGUUUUUUUUUUUGUUUGUUUUUUAAACAUUAUAGCUUUAUAUGUUUCUUACAAAAACAAAAAUUCAAUUAUACUUCAAAAAAUUUAAACAAUCAUAACAAACAUGUCACGACCCGAAUCCCGGAUCCAUGACCGGCACAUAGGCAAGGUUCCCCUCCAAGGUUCCAUACCUAUGCGAACCCAAACUUACACACAAACUUAUCCUAACUCAAUCAGAGUUCAACGCAGCAUUAACAACAAAAUCAACUUCAUAAUAUAAUUGAAUUGUCUUAAUACAAGAGUUUAUAUAAGUUCAGAGUUUUGGAGCACUAACUAGACAUAAAGGGAAAAGGUACAAUUUACAACCAAAAGAGCAGGUUCUGAAGGUCCAACAAAAUGACCUGCUAUCAAGCUAUAAGCCUGAAAAGGAUAAAUAAUGAGAUGGUGAGUUCAACAACUCAGUGAGUAGAUAACGUUCAAUAUACACACACGAGGUAAUACAACAAUGAGAAAUAUAUAUACAAGUAUGGCUCUAGGUUCUUAUAGAAAGGUUUCUCAAAUAAGCCAUAACAAGAAUAUCAUAUGGUGAAACUCGUCAGAAAAUCAAAAUGCAAUGAGCAUGAGGCUCCGUACUGUGGGAUGAUCAGUCCACACAGGUUGGUGACUCCCAAGACCAACUAGGGUUCAGAUACGAUGUGCACAAAGACUAACACUACCCUGUUAGCAUGGGUAUUCUGACUGACAAACCAUAGGUUCAUAAUCAUAAUCAAACAGACAUAUUCAUAUCUCAAGGCUCAACUCAUGACAUCAAUCAAAUGAGGAGCUAUCAAUUCAGAAUUCAAUUCAAAAUAUAUACUGGUUCAUAUCAAGAAUUCAGAUUCAACAAUUGAUCAUGCUUUAUCAAAACAAGGAUAAUAAUCAACAUAUAUAUUAUCAAGAAGCAUGAUCCAAUUCAUAUUAACAAAUCAAAUAUUU
rnacentral:lncRNA from 1 species